GAUGAACGCUGGCGGCGUGCCUAAUACAUGCAAGUCGAGCGAACGGACGAGAAGCUUGCUUCUCUGAUGUUAGCGGCGGACGGGUGAGUAACACGUGGAUAACCUACCUAUAAGACUGGGAUAACUUCGGGAAACCGGAGCUAAUACCGGAUAAUAUUUUGAACCGCAUGGUUCAAAAGUGAAAGACGGUCUUGCUGUCACUUAUAGAUGGAUCCGCGCUGCAUUAGCUAGUUGGUAAGGUAACGGCUUACCAAGGCAACGAUGCAUAGCCGACCUGAGAGGGUGAUCGGCCACACUGGAACUGAGACACGGUCCAGACUCCUACGGGAGGCAGCAGUAGGGAAUCUUCCGCAAAGGGCGAAAGCCUGACGGAGCAACGCCGCGUGAGUGAUGAAGGUCUUCGGAUCGUAAAACUCUGUUAUUAGGGAAGAACAUAUGUGUAAGUAACUGUGCACAUCUUGACGGUACCUGAUCAGAAAGCCACGGCUAACUACGUG
rnacentral:rRNA from 1 species